rnacentral:rRNA from 1 species
UGCCAGCAGCCGCGGUAAUUCCAGCUCCAAUAGCGUAUAUUAAAGUUGUUGCGGUUAAAAAGCUCGUAGUUGGAUCUCGGCGGGCAGGGGGUGGUUCGCUCUUCAGCGCUACUGCCCCGCUUUGCCCGUGUGAUUGGCGGAGGUUUCGGGGUGCUCUUCGUUGAGUGACUCGGAGCGCCGUCAGGUUUACUUUGAAAAAAUUAGAGUGCUCAAAGCAGGCUUUUCACGCUUGAAUAUUCGUGCAUGGAAUAAUGGAAUAGGAACUCGUUUCUAUUUUGUUGGUUUUCGGAAAUCGAGUUAAUGAUUAACAGGGACAAUUGGGGGCAUUAGUAUUCAGACGACAGAGGUGAAAUUCUUGGACCGUCUGAAGACUGACUACUGCGAAAGCAUUUGCCAAGAGUGUUUUCAUUAAUCAAGAACGAAAGUUAGAGGUUCGAAGGCGAUCAGAUACCGCCCUAGUUCUAACCAUAAACGAUGCCAGCUAGCGAUCUGCCGAGUUUUUUUUGUAGGCUCCGCAGGAAGCUUUCGGGAAACCAAAGCUUUUGGGUUCCGGGGGAAGUAUGGUUGCAAAGCUGAAACUUAAAGGAAUUGACGGAAGGGCACCACCAGGAGUGGAGCCUGCGGCUUAAUUUGACUCAACACGGGAAAUCUCACCAGGCCCGGACACUGGAAGGAUUGACAGAUUGAGAGCUCUUUCUCGAUUCGGUGGGUGGUGGUGCAUGGCCGUUCUUAGUUGGUGGAGUGAUUUGUCUGGUUAAUUCCGAUAACGAACGAGACUCUGUCCUGCUAAAUAGUUGGGUCGUCCUUCGUGCGAUCCAAGUUCUUCUUAGAGGGACUGGCUGCGUCUAGCAGCACGAGAUUGAGCAAUAACAGG